rnacentral:misc_RNA from 1 species
GUGAGUCAUCGAAUCUUUGAACGCACCUUGCGCUCCUGGACUUGUUUCAGGAGCAUGCCUGUUUGAGUGUCAUGAAAUCAUCAACCACGUUGCUUUAGUGCGCCGUGGCUUGGACUUGGGGAUUUGCGGGCGUUCUAGCGUCGGCUUCCCUUGAAUGCAUUAGUCGGGCGCCCUUUGCUCGAGAAGUGUGAUAAUUAUCAUUCACUGAUCGACGAGGGACCUUGUCUCGGCUUCUAACCGCAUGCUUGCAUGCAUCUUUGACACAUCUGACCUCAAAUCAGGUAGGACUACCCGCUGAAC